rnacentral:rRNA from 1 species
UGGGGAAUAUUGCACAAUGGGCGCAAGCCUGAUGCAGCCAUGCCGCGUGUGUGAAGAAGGCCUUCGGGUUGUAAAGCACUUUCAGCGGGGAGGAAGGCGUUAAGGUUAAUAACCUUGGCGAUUGACGUUACCCGCAGAAGAAGCACCGGCUAACUCCGUGCCAGCAGCCGCGGUAAUACGGAGGGUGCAAGCGUUAAUCGGAAUUACUGGGCGUAAAGCGCACGCAGGCGGUCUGUCAAGUCGGAUGUGAAAUCCCCGGGCUCAACCUGGGAACUGCAUUCGAAACUGGCAGGCUAGAGUCUUGUAGAGGGGGGUAGAAUUCCAUGUGUAGCGGUGAAAUGCGUAGAGAUGUGGAGGAAUACCGGUGGCGAACGCGGCCCCCUGGACAAAGACUGACGCUCAGGUGCGAAAGCGUGGGGAGCAAACAGG